rnacentral:rRNA from 1 species
UACAGAGGUCCCGAGCGUUGUUCGGAUUCAUUGGGCGUAAAGGGUGCGUAGGUGGCGCUGUAAGUGGGGUGUGAAAUCCCUAGGCUUAACCUAGGAACUGCGUCGGAUACUGGAUGGCUUGAAUCCGGGAGAGGGAUGCGGAAUUCCAGGUGUAGCGGUGAAAUGCGUAGAUAUCGAGAGGAACACCUGCGGCGAAGGCGGGUUGCUGGGGCUGACACUGACGCUGAAGCGCGAAAGCUAGGGGAGCGAACGGG